GCUGGGCACGGUGGCGCGUGCCUGUAAUCCCAGCUACUCAGGAGGCUGAGGCAGGAGAAUUGUCUGAACCCAGGAGGCUGAGGUUGCGGUGAGCCGAGAUCGCGCCAUUGAACUCCAGCCUGGGUGAAAAGAGCAAAACUCCGUCUCAA
rnacentral:sRNA from 13 species